rnacentral:lncRNA from 1 species
GAUCUAUCAGGUACAGAUGCUUCAGUGGCUGCGCAAUGGCAGUUAAGAGAAAGAAAACAGGUUCUAGAGAGACCCUGGCAGGUAGGAUUUGGAAGUCAUCUUUGAACUGACCUCACUUGCUCCCCUCAUUUUGCUGAUGAGGAAACCGAGGCUGAGUGAAUGUCAGCAGGGUUACCAGGAAGAUUAUCCCUGAGCUAACAUCUGCUGCCAAUCCUCCUCUUUUUGCUGAGGAAGACUGGCCGUGAGCUAACAUCUGUGCCCAUCUUCAUCUACUUUAUAUGUGGGACACCUACCACAGCAUGGCUUGCCGUCAGUGCCAUGUGUGCAUCCGAGAUCCAAACUGGUGAACCCUACGCUGCUGAAGUGGAACAUGCACACUUAACCGCUGCACCACAGUACUGGCCUCUGGAGUAUCUUUUUCCAUCCCUUCACUUUCAGUUUGUGACUGUCUUUAGGUCUGAAUUAUGUCUCUUGUAAGUGGGAUGUCUAUGGGUCUUGUAUUUUAUCUAAUCAGCCACCCUAUGUCUUUUGAUUGGAGCAUUUACACUCCAUUGACAUUUAAAGUAGCUACUGAUAAGUAUUUUGUUACUUUUUUUCUGGAUGUUUUAGUAGUUCUCUGUUCCUUUCUUCUUUUCUUGCUCUCUUCCCUUGAGGUUUGAUGGCUGUUUUUUUAAAUUAUUAUUGGUUUAUUUAUUCAUUUGCAAAGCUCUGUCAGUUGCAUAUACUCAAUCUAUAGGGAAAAGGUGAAGUUCCGUAUUACAUGGAAGUAAAUUUAUUCUCAAUAAUAUGUGCAACUUUGAAAACCUGGUUGAUAUGAUUCCAUUAAUCAAAACCAGAAUGUAUCUCAUUGUAUAAAUCCCAGAAAGAUUUAUCAUAUAAAUGAUUUCUUUGCCCAAAUAGGAAAAUGUGCAUUUGGUAAAUUGAAUAUGAAAUACAAUGAAAGUUUUUGGAAUUGAUUUGUAUUUUAGAAAGCUACUAAUAAAAAUCUCGAAAAAAACUAGCCAAAAGGAAAUCUUGAGAAUAAAUGUGCAGGGAUUGAAAAUUCCAUAGUCCACCAGCAUGCUGAGUUACUUUUUAAGUAUUUAAAUUGUGUUGGGAAAUAAUAUUAAAGCAUUUGUAGCUUCAGUUUUCUAAUCUCUAAAGUUGAGGUUGAUACCACUGACCAGACCACCUUGUGAUAUUUAAAAAAUGUUUGGAGAGCAGCAAUAUAAUCUCUGGAACAGAUUGCGUCCAGUUUAAUGUGAUAAUAUUGAUAUUAAUGUUUUAAUGAUAAACCUAUUUAUAAUAUAUUGAGUAAUUGAGUUUGAGAAAUAUUUUCAACC